rnacentral:misc_RNA from 1 species
AGCAGCCGCGGUAAUUCCAGCUCCAAUAGCGUAUAUUAAAGUUGUUGCAGUUAAAAGCUCGUAGUUGAAUUUCGGGGUUAGUAGGUUGGUCAUGCCUCUGGUAUGUACUGGUCUCACUGAUUCCUCCUUCCUGAUGAACCUUAAUGCCAUUAAUUUGGUGUUUUGGGGAAUUUGGACUGUUACUUUGAAAAAUUAGAGUGUUUAAAGCAAGCUAACGCUUGAAUACAUUAGCAUGGAAUAAUGAAAUAGGACGUUCGAUCCUAUUUUGUUGGUUUCUAGGAUUGACGUAAUGAUUAAUAGGGAUAGUUGGGGGCAUUAGUAUUCAAUUGUCAGAGGUGAAAUUCUUGGAUUUAUUGAAGACUAACUACUGCGAAAAGCAUUUGCCAAGGAUGUUUUCAUUAAUCAAGAACGAAAGUUAGGGAUCGAAGACGAUCAGAUACCGUCGUAGUCUUAACCAUAAACUAUGCCGACUAGGGAUCGGAUGAUGUUAAUUUUUUAAUGUACUCAUUCGGCGCCUUAC